ACGAACGCUGGCGGCGUGCUUAACCCCUGCCAGUCGAACGGAAAGGCCCUGCUUUUGUGGGGUGCUCGAGUGGCGAACGGGUGAGUAACACGUGAGUAACCUGCCCUUGACUUUGGGAUAACUUCAGGAAACUGGGGCUAAUACCGGAUAGGAGCUCCUGCUGCAUGGUGGGGGGUUGGAAAGUUUCGGCGGUUGGGGAUGGACUCGCGGCUUAUCAGCUUGUUGGUGGGGUAGUGGCUUACCAAGGCUUUGACGGGUAGCCGGCCUGAGAGGGUGACCGGCCACAUUGGGACUGAGAUACGGCCCAGACUCCUACGGGAGGCAGCAGUGGGGAAUAUUGCACAAUGGGCGGAAGCCUGAUGCAGCAACGCCGCGUGCGGGAUGACGGCCUUCGGGUUGUAAACCGCUUUCGCCUGUGACGAAGCGUGAGUGACGGUAAUGGGUAAAGAAGCACCGGCUAACUACGUG
rnacentral:rRNA from 1 species